rnacentral:ncRNA from 1 species
UCUUAUCAAGAGCGAUUGAGGGAACUGGCCCAUAGAAAUCGCAGCAACCCGCUGAUUGGCAAGGUGCUAAGUCCAGCGAAAAUCUUCAAAUGGUUUUCGGAAAGAUGAGA